CUAUGGAAAACAGAUGAGAAGUUGCAUUCUGAAUCAGUUCACCAUGGUUUACCCACCUGAGCUCCUGCCUUCUGUGGGUUUCAUGAGCCUAGAAGAAUCGGGCAGAUGGCAUUGAAUUCUGCUGUAAUCAGACAUUGAUUUUGGUCUUCCUGAGAAAGGAGGAUUAUUUAAACUUUCACUUAUAGGAAACUGGCAGGAACCUGUUUAAAUCGCCCAGAAGUUCCUGAGACUUACAGUGGAAUCACUUCCAGGCAAGAUCUUCAAGAGCAUCUCACUUAGAUGCUACCAGCUCAGAUCAUCUGGUACCUUUGCUACUCAGCCCACCUGCCAGCCCUGUGGCUCAGGCUCCAUAUUAGAAUGUGUGGAAUUCAAAGACAGAACAAUGCAUUCUUGGCUCCUGUGCAAACAGGUAUCCUCAAUACAAUGAAAUAACUGCUCUACUGGGAAGACAUAUUUACACAAGGUGAGA